ACACUCCUCUGCUUAUUACAACAGGCUGGGGCCAACGCCAGCGAUUCAGAAGUGGCCGAGGGUCGCUCCCAGGUUUGGACCCCGAUUCAGGCCCGGCUUGGCCAGCGGGCACGAAGCGGAGAGCGACCGGCCUGUCCGAGAGUGCGGGGCCGCGGGGCUGCAGCUCAGCGAGCGCGGGCACAAUUCAGCCGCCAAGAGUCUUCACCCGGAAAACCCAACUCUUCCAGGGAAAACGGAGGGAGAAGAAGUGAAGGCGAGACCUACAUAAACUUAGGGCCAAUGCAGAGCUGUGCCCACCAGUCCUCGGGCUGAGCUCUCCCUCCAGCUCGCGGGUGGCUUUGCACAAAGAAUACUUUGGUUCGCAACGACCUCCGCUUGCAACAUCUGUUUGUAACUUUGGGGAACCAGGGCGCCGGCCGGGAAGACCCGCUAAGUGCGACGGGCCUUGGUCCGCCGCCGGGCAGCACCCACGAGGCAGGGGCUCGGAGAGGCUGCCUUCGAUCAGAGUCCACGGACCUCGUGCCCCCGAACAGCCCCGCCCUGAGGGUGACCCGGGGUCCGCCGCCGCCGCGCGCGACCGCUUCGGCGGGCAGCCCCCCGGCUCCCAGAUCGCGGGGUUCCUGCAUGAGGGCCGGCGCGGGACAGCCAGGCCCUCCCGGUCCCGGGACAGCGGGCCUGGGGUUUGGGAGGGAGGGCUCUGCCUCUCGGGCCGCGGCAGCUCGGCCGCCCCACACUGCGCGACCUGCAGAACAGGUGUGUGUCCCCGCUCGCUCGGCGCCCGGCCCCGUCUGUCACUGGCGGCGCGGCGCCGCCCCGUCCUCGGCCUUCCCCCGCGCCCCGGGGUACCGCGAGCGAACUCACGCCACUUUCGCCAGGUUUGCGCGGGCCGGGAGGGCCAGGCACGUAAGACGCCUGCAUCCUUUUUCCUCGACGCUCUUUCUGCCUUUCCCCCCUUGGCUCCCUUUCCAUUUGCAGCGAGAAGCCCCGAGCCGCGCGGAGGAGGAGACCGGCACCCCUGCCUGUUCUGUUCCCUCCAGCCUGACCCGCCGCUUCCCCCCAGCCCGCCCUUUUUUCCUCUGUAUUUUUCCUUUCUUUCCCCUUUGCCCUUCAAGCCGAGUCCGGGGCGGAAGCGAGAGGCGAGACUUGGCUGGUGGGCAUCGUGGGCAGAGAGCGCCCGUGGGCCGACAGCGCCUCUGAGCUGCUCCUGGGCAGGAGGUGGCGCGGGCCAGAGACCCCGGACUGCCCGCCCGGCCCGGCAGGCCUGAGUCCCAUUGCAAGCUUCCCCACUCCAUGCGCCCGCGCGGUGCGACGCGCGCCCGGGUCGGGGCUCGGGCCCUGGUCCUCCGCUGGAACCGUGGCCAGGGCCCGAGUGAGCGCGUUCGGAACGGAAGCGAGAGCUCUUCCCCUGCCUCUGGGCAGCCAAAGCCCCCGCUACUUCGGGGUUCCCGCGCGCACCCUGGCCGGCCGGGCUCCACCCGGGCCUGGAGCGCUUGGAGGGGUUCCUGGAGCGGAGGAGAGGCCGGGCAUCCCCUCGGAUGGCCUCAUCACCGUGGGCGGCCUCGCUCGGGGGCCACACGGAAGCUCUCCGCCCAAGUUUGUUGUGCCCUGGAAGAAAAGGCUUUCCCUUACAAAGCACAAAGGCGAAACGCUCAGGACGAGCCCUGAAAAGCCCGGGGCUGGGGAGGGGGGCGGCCAGAGCCUUGGGAGCGCGGCAGCGGGGCUGGUCUCCGGGCAGAGAGGGUCGCUCCGCCCGGGCUGGGCUGACAAGCGCGGCGAGGGUGGCCGCAGGACCACAGCGCCCGGCGUGCUCGCUGAAAAGUUUUGUUCUCAAGUCGGAGAAAGAGAAAUUGUUACUCAGUUUAAGGCCGAUCUAAGAUAAAAAAUAAAACUAAAAAAGAGCCACGCGCCGCUGUCUGUACCGCGAGCCUCACACCCUGCUCCGCAGAACCGCUGGGAGAGAGUCCCGGCCCCGAAAAUCCCGGGAGACCCCCCACGGGUCCGGCUGCUCGGAGGCCAGGCAGGCGGGCCGAGCGGAGCGGGGAGUUCAUCCGCUCCGUUUGGAGCGGUCCACCUCCCGGCCAGCACCUGCCUCCUUCCUGCCCGCGGCGGCUUCCCCCACCCCACCCCCACCCCUCCACGCCCUUCACCCCCCACCCCCUCCAGGAAAGUAAGCCGAGCCCCGGGGGGCCCCGGCUUCCAGCCUCUCUCCGGCGCCCCGCCGGGCCAGCCGGGUGGUGGUGGGGGGGCGGCGGUCGGGGUCCUUUCUCAUUCGGAUAGCCCCUUCCCCGACCCGCCCGCCGCCUCGGGCUCCCCGCUGAGUACCACCCGGCCGGGGCCCCGCCGGAAAUCACCGCGGGAUCCACAGGGGAGCUGGGCGAGAGGGCAUGCUCGCCUUCGACCCAAACAAAGUGGGAAUGCGGCUUCUUAAAGGAUGGAGAAAAGAAGUCCCGCUCCCUUCCCCUGCUCCCUCUGCCCCCUCGCCCUCCCCACUUGCCCAAUUCCCGCGUCUGGUCCCUCCCCCUCGCACCCCCCAAAUAAAACACAUUAAGGAAAACUCAAGACGAAAGUUUCAGGGAGGCAGCGCACGGAGUGCGCAGGGCACAGAUGCCGGCAGGCACCGUCGCCCAGACCUGAGACGCGCCCGUCCAGGUCUCUGCCCCUGCCCCUGCCGGGGGGCGGCGGUGGGGGGAGCCGCCCGGAUCCCCAGGAAACGCACCCGGAAAGUUAGCCAGGCUCCCGAGCAACCCCGCCGCCCUCGCACCCACCCCUCUGGCGUCCGCACACACAUCCACACCCCUUCCUGGUCGCUACUUGCCGUGGAAAUUCCUUGGGAGACCGGUCGCACUUUUCAGGACGCGGAGCGAAGGAGGCGGUGAGUGUGGUGCAUGAAAAGUCCCGGGCGCGCAGAGCCGGCGGAGGCAGCGGCGGCGGCGGCGGCAGCGGCAGCAGCAG
rnacentral:lncRNA from 1 species